GUUAUUGUAGCUUAAUUAUAUAAAGCACGGCACUGAAAAUGCCGCGACGGGAUUGGAAAAACCCCCAAAAACA
rnacentral:tRNA from 1 species